GACGAAGGGGCUAGCGUUGUUCGGAAUUACUGGGCGUAAAGCGCGUGUAGGCGGUUGUCCAAGUUGGAUGUGAAAGCCUUGAGCUUAACUCAAGAAAUGCAUUCAGGACUGGAUGACUAGAGGACCGGAGAGGAUAGUGGAAUUCCCAGUGUAGUGGUGAAAUACGAUAGAGAGUUGGGAAGAACACCAGUGGCGAAGGCGGCUAUCUGGAACGGUUUCUGACGGCUAA
rnacentral:rRNA from 1 species